CAGAAGCAGGGCUGACCAGGCAGCUACUUGGACCCCUUUAAGUAACUUUUCUGGAAGUUUUGUCAGAAAGGAUGGGGUUGUGCUCAGUAACAAGGAGGAGCAGCAAGUGUUUAUAAACAAAAAUAUAGUCCACCACAUGAGCCAUCUGUGAGAAGGGAGCAACAAGAAAGGCCUUCCCAGAGAGCAGAAAGGUGAAGUGUCCUGUGGAAGAAGAACAUUGAGAACUGCUAAGUGAACUAAUGAACAAACUGAAUCGGAAGCUUUCCAGGGCUGAAGGACCCUGACUCCCAGCCUUGCUUUUGUUUGCCUGCUCUGCAGCUGAUUAGGUCCUGCUGAGGCUCUGAUUGCUGUUCAGGAAAACCAGGUAUUCAGCUGUGUGGUCCAUUGAUACUGCUUCCUCUGCUAUUGUCUGUAAAGCAAAGUUAAGGUCUUAAAGGACAGAAAAAGUGGCCUCUCUUUACAUUUUGCUUUAUGUAAUCAGGAGGUUGUGUGUUUUGUAACUGCAUUGAUGAAAUUAUCCAAAUGUCAUGAAAUCCGUGCAUAUCAGAGCAGUAUGUUCUGGUUAAAUGCUAUUUGGCUGGGUUAGAAUUAUUCCCACCACACCUACCACAU